rnacentral:rRNA from 1 species
GAUGAACGCUGGCGGCGCGCCUUACACAUGCAAGUCGAACGGUUAAAGCACCUUCGGGUGUGUAUAAUGUGGCGAACGUCUGUGUUACACGUGGGCAACCUCCCCCUUUCAUUGGGAUAGCCCCGGGAAACCGUUGAUAAUACCUAAUACUUCGAGACUUCCGCGUGGGAGACUCGAGCAAGCUCCGGCGGAGUGGGUUUGGCCCGCGGCCUGUUAGCUUGUUGGUGGGGUAACGGCCUACCAAGGCAAGGAUGGGUAGCUGGGUUGAGAGACCGAACAGCCAGAAUGGGACUGAGACACGGACCAGACUCCUACGGGAGGCAGCAGUGGGGAAUCUUGCACAAUGAGCGAAAGUCUGAUGCAGCGACGCCGCGUGUGGGAUGAAGGCCUUCGGGUUGUAAACCGCUUUCAGCAGAGACGAGGCGAAAGUGACGGUACCUGAAGAAGAAGCCCCGGCUAACUACGUG